rnacentral:sRNA from 1 species
UAUAAUUAAUUCAUGGUUAAGUGGAGAGAAACUAGAAGUACGGGAUAAUUUGAGUUGAGUGCCUAUAGUACAUGUGGAUUUCUACAUGCAGCCCAUAAAAUUAUAAAUUCCUAAUAUGUACCAAUAUAUUUGGUUUAUAUGAAAAGCUUGUAAUGAUAAUUGUCACACACGUCUCCCUUAACAUUGAGACGACGUGCUUUUUACCUUAUUUAAAUUUUUCCUUUCUUCCGCUUUCUUAAUUCAAAUAUAAACUUGUCUUAAAAACCAUCUUAAAUCACUGAAAAAUCUUUAGUAAAACGUAUAAGAAAAUAACAAUAGUAGAAAAUAAAUAUGAUGUUACCAAAAUACACCAUAAGCGAGACGGACUUGAGCGACUACACACGAUUCUCACCGUGACCUAGGGAAAAAAGAGGAAAAAGGGGUGAGUAAAGAAAUAUCCGAUUCAGGUUUCCGGGUCAAAAACUUAAAAAAAACUCUGACCCGAUUAGAUUUCUUAAAAUGUACUUCAAAAAUGUUAAGUAGAUGUACUAUAAAAA